GACAGCCAGGAUGUUGGCUUAGAAGCAGCCAUCAUUUAAAGAAAGCGUAAUAGCUCACUGGUCGAGUCGGCCUGCGCGGAAGAUGUAACGGGGCUAAACCAUGCACCGAAGCUGCGGCAGCGACGCUUAUGCGUUGUUGGGUAGGGGAGCGUUCUGUAAGCCUGCGAAGGUGGCCUGUGAGGGUUGCUGGAGGUAUCAGAAGUGCGAAUGCUGACAUAAGUAACGAU
rnacentral:rRNA from 1 species